rnacentral:lncRNA from 1 species
GCCACAUAAAGGUUUCCGAAACCUAGGUCUCUGCGUGCAAAGCCAUUGCUGUCUGGGAUCACUGCUGUUCGGGGAAUUUGCUGACCGGGGUCACUGAUGUCAAUAGGUCCCUGUUGUUCUGAGUUACUGCUGCCUGGGUCGGGGUGGGGGAGGUGGUGCUGCCUGUGGUAUGGUCACCGCUGUCCAAGAUCACUGCUCCUAAGAGUCAUCGCAUCUAGGAAUCACUUCCAUCUGAGGUCACUAGAGAGGUCAGUGCUGGCCAGGGUCAUUAUCAUUUUGAGGUCAUUAUUGUCAGGCCCCUGGAAGGGUCCCUGCUGGUUCAGUGUCUAGAGGUCCCUGGACAGAGUAGGCCAG